rnacentral:rRNA from 1 species
CAGUAGCCGCGGUAAUACAGAGGGUGCAAGCGUUAAUCGGAAUUACUGGGCGUAAAGGGCGCGUAGGUGGUUGUGUAAGUGAGAUGUGAAAUCCCCGGGCUCAACCUGGGAACUGCGUCUUAUACUGCAUAGCUUGAGUACAAUAGAGGGUAGUGGAAUUUCCGGUGUAGCGGUGAAAUGCGUAGAUAUCGGAAGGAACACCAGUGGCGAAGGCGGCUACCUGGAUUGAUACUGACACUGAGGCGCGAGAGCGUGGGGAGCAAACAGGAUUAGAUACCCCUGUAGUCCCUGUCUCUUAUAC